UUGGGAAUAUUGGACAAUGGAGGAAACUCUGAUCCAGUGACGCCGCGUGAAGGAAGAAGGUCUUCGGAUUGUAAACUUAUUUUAUCAGGGAAGAAACAAAUGACUGUACCUGAAGAAAAAGGACCGGCAAACUACGUGCCAGCAGCCGCGGUAAUACGUAGGGUCCAAGCGUUAUCCGGAUUUACUGGGUGUAAAGGGCGAGUAGACGGCACUAUAAGUCAGCUGUGAAAACUUAGGGCUCAACCCUAAGCCUGCAGCUGAAACUGUAGAGCUAGAGUGCAGGAGAGGUAAGUGGAAUUCCUAGUGUAGCGGUGAAAUGCGUAGAUAUUAGGAGGAACACCAGUGGCGAAGGCGACUUACUGGACUGUAACUGACGUUGAGGAGCGAAAGUGUGGGGAGCAAACAGG
rnacentral:rRNA from 2 species